GAUGAACGCUGGCGGCGUGCCUAAUACAUGCAAGUCGAGCGAACAGACGAGGAGCUUGCUCCUCUGACGUUAGCGGCGGACGGGUGAGUAACACGUGGAUAACCUACCUAUAAGACUGGGAUAACUUCGGGAAACCGGAGCUAAUACCGGAUAAUAUAUUGAACCGCAUGGUUCAAUAGUGAAAGCCGGUUUUGCUGUCACUUAUAGAUGGAUCCGCGCCGUAUUAGCUAGUUGGUAAGGUAACGGCUUACCAAGGCAACGAUGCGUAGCCGACCUGAGAGGGUGAUCGGCCACACUGGAACUGAGACACGGUCCAGACUCCUACGGGAGGCAGCAGUAGGGAAUCUUCCGCAAUGGGCGAAAGCCUGACGGAGCAACGCCGCGUGAGUGAUGAAGGUCUUCGGAUCGUAAAACUCUGUUAUUAGGGAAGAACAAAUGUGUAAGUAACUAUGCACGUCUUGACGGUACCUAAUCAGAAAGCCACGGCUAACUACGUG
rnacentral:rRNA from 1 species